UACGUAGGGUGCGAGCGUUAAUCGGAAUUACUGGGCGUAAAGCGUGCGCAGGCGGUCCGCUAAGACCGAUGUGAAAUCCCCGGGCUUAACCUGGGAACUGCAUUGGUGACUGGCGGGCUGGAGUAUGGCAGAGGGGGGUAGAAUUCCGCGUGUAGCAGUGAAAUGCGUAGAGAUGCGGAGGAACACCGAUGGCGAAGGCAGCCCCCUGGGCUAACACUGACGCUCAGGCACGAAAGCGUGGGGAGCAAACAGG
rnacentral:rRNA from 1 species